AGUGAACGCUGGCGGCGUGCCUAAUACAUGCAAGUCGAACGGACGAGUAAGAGCUUGCUCUUAUGAGUUAGUGGCGCACGGGUGAGUAAUGUAUAGCUAAUCUGCCCUACACUAGAGGACAACAGUUGGAAACGACUGCUAAUACUCUAUACUCCUCUCUAGCAUAAGUUAGAUAGGGAAAGUUUUUCGGUGUAGGAUGAGGCUAUAUUGUAUCAGCUAGUUGGUGAGGUAAUGGCUCACCAAGGCUAUGACGCAUAACUGGUCUGAGAGGAUGAUCAGUCACACUGGAACUGAGACACGGUCCAGACUCCUACGGGAGGCAGCAGUAGGGAAUAUUGCUCAAUGGGGGAAACCCUGAAGCAGCAACGCCGCGUGGAGGAUGACACUUUUCGGAGCGUAAACUCCUUUUGUUAGGGAAGAACAAUGACGGUACCUAACGAAUAAGCACCGGCUAACUCCGUGCCAGCAGCCGCGGUAAUACGGAGGGUGCAAGCGUUACUCGGAAUCACUUGGCGUAAAGGACGCGUAGGCGGAUUAUCAAGUCUCUUGUGAAAUCCUAUGGCUUAACCAUAGAACUGCUUGGGAAACUGAUAAUCUAGAGUGAGGGAGAGGCAGAUGGAAUUGGUGGUGUAGGGGUAAAAUCCGUAGAGAUCACCAGGAAUACCCAUUGCGAAGGCGAUCUGCUGGAACUCAACUGACGCUAAUGCGUGAAAGCGUGGGGAGCAAACAGG
rnacentral:rRNA from 1 species